UUUUUUUUUUUUUUUUUUUUUUUUUUUUUUUCG
rnacentral:ribozyme from 1 species